rnacentral:rRNA from 1 species
GACGAACGCUGGCGGCGUGCCUAAUACAUGCAAGUAGAACGCACAGUUUAUACCGUAGCUUGCUACACCAUAAACUGUGAGUUGCGAACGGGUGAGUAACGCGUAGGUAACCUGCCUGGUAGCGGGGGAUAACUAUUGGAAACGAUAGCUAAUACCGCAUAAUAUUAAUUAUUGCAUGAUAAUUGAUUGAAAGAUGCAAUUGCAUCACUACCAGAUGGACCUGCGUUGUAUUAGCUAGUAGGUGAGGUAACGGCUCACCUAGGCGACGAUACAUAGCCGACCUGAGAGGGUGAUCGGCCACACUGGGACUGAGACACGGCCCAGACUCCUACGGGAGGCAGCAGUAGGGAAUCUUCGGCAAUAGACGAAAGUCUGACCGAGCAACGCCGCGGGAGUGAAGAAGGUUUUCGGAUCGUAAAGCUCUGUUGUAAGAGAAGAACGGGUGUGAGAGUGGAAAGUUCACACUGUGACGGUAUCUUACCAGAAAGGGACGGCUAACAACGUG